UAUUGGAUGCUAGUCUAAGCGUUUAGGCAGUGAGAGUAGGCAAAUCCGCUCUCAUAAUGCUGAGGCGUGAUGGGGAAGGUUCCACGGAACCGAAGUACAUGAUUCCACGCUGCCAAGAAAAGCGUCUAGAGAGAGAAGUAGUGCCCGUACCGCAAACCGACACAGGUAGGUGAGGAGAGAAUCCUAAGGCCGGCGGAAGAAUUACAGUUAAGGAACUCGGCAAAUUGACCCCGUAAGUUCGCGAGAAGGGGUGCCUACGAGAGUAGGCCGCAGAGAAUAGGCCCAAGCAACUGUUUAGCAAAAACACAGGUCUCUGCUAAAGCGUAAGCUGAUGUAUAGGGGCUGACGCCUGCCCGGUGCUGGAAGGUUAAGGGGAACACUUAGCGCAAGCGAAGGUGUGAACUUAAGCCCCAGUAAACGGCGGCCGUAACUAUAACGGUCCUAAGGUAGCGAAAUUCCUUGUCAGGUAAGUUCUGACCCGCACGAAUGGCGUAAUGACUUGGGCACUGUCUCAACUGUAAAUCCGGCGAAGUUGUAGUGCGAGUGAAGAUGCUCGCUACCCGCGAUUGGACGGAAAGACCCCGUAGAGCUUUACUGUAGCUUAGCAUUGAGUUUUGGUAUUGUCUGUACAGGAUAGGUGGGAGACUAGGAAACCAGGGCGUCAGCCUUGGUGGAGUCAACCUUGGGAUACCACCCUGACAGUACUGAAAUUCUAACUGGCGGCCAUGAAUCUGGUCACAGGACAUUGUUAGGUGGGCAGUUUGACUGGGGCGGUCGCCUCCUAAAAAGUAACGGAGGCGCCCAAAGGUUCCCUCAGAACGGUCGGAAAUCGUUCGAAGAGUGCAAAGGCAGAAGGGAGCCUGACUGCGACACCCACAAGUGGAGCAGGGACGAAAGUCGGGCUUAGUGAUCCGGUGGUACCUCGUGGGAGGGCCAUCGCUCAACGGAUAAAAGCUACCUCGGGGAUAACAGGCUGAUCUCCCCCAAGAGUCCACAUCGACGGGGAGGUUUGGCACCUCGAUGUCGGCUCGUCGCAUCCUGGGGCUGAAGUAGGUCCCAAGGGUUGGGCUGUUCGCCCAUUAAAGCGGCACGCGAGCUGGGUUCAGAACGUCGUGAGACAGUUCGGUCCCUAUCCGUCGCGGGCGUAGGAAAUUUGAGAGGAGCUGUCCUUAGUACGAGAGGACCGGGAUGGACUGACCUCUGGUGUACCAGUUGUUCCGCCAGGAGCACAGCUGGGUAGCUAAGUCGGGAAUGGAUAAACGCUGAAAGCAUCUAAGCGUGAAGCCAACCUCAAGAUGAGAUUUCCCAUAGCGUAAGCUAGUAAGAUCCCUUGAAGAACACAAGGUUGAUAGGUCGGGGGUGUAAGCAUGGUAACAUGUUCAGCUGACCGAUACUAAUAGAUCGAGGGCUUGACCAA
rnacentral:rRNA from 1 species